rnacentral:rRNA from 1 species
GUCUAUGGCCGUACUACCCUAAACGGGCCUGAUCUCGUCUGAUCUCGGAAGCUAAGCAGGGUCGGGCCUGGUUAGUACUUGGAUGGAAAAGUGCUGUUGCUUCACCAGACCAGGUAACUAAACU